rnacentral:lncRNA from 1 species
GCUGAUGGAGUAUGAUAUAUUAGAGCGAGUUACACUUACAUGCAUAAUCUUUCAGGCUUGGUACAAAGUUCAUGACCAAAUAUUGAUUCUAAAGUUUUGUGUGGCAGGUUUUAUAUACUGCCCACAAAUCUCAAUUUACAUAUAAUGAAUCUUACUCGUGAUUUUGUAAUUUACAAUAAGUUCUAACUAAAUUGAGUGUGCUAAAAAUAAUUUCUUUUUAGCAUUCUUGUAAGAAAUAAUGUCACUCAUUUUAAACAGGCAGUAGAUUGCAUUUUGUGUCAAUCCCACCCUCACAGUCUUCACAGCAUGUCUUCUUUAAUUUCCUGUAAGAUGUUAUCCUUUUGAUGUCACACUUUUAUUAUGCUUGGCAUGACUUUUGAACAGCUCUUUCCAUCAAAUUGUAUAGACAAUUUUCUGCAGCAUAUAGGGGCCUAUGGAUGAUAGGGAGGUUAAACAUCUGUAGUUACUUUGGUUCACAGCUUUUUGGUCAAUAUGGACUCUAAGCAAUGUGUAAUCUUCAACUAGUUAGGAGUUAAUUUACGAUUCAAAUAUGCAAAAUCUAGGACACGAUUGAAACUAGAUCUUGAUUUUCUAAUUCCCAUCAUGAUAUUGGAGUUUGGUUGCAAUUUAAUUUCAUAUAUUGGUGUUUAAUUACGUCCUCUAGAAUGGAUCAAACUUUGUUGCUAGCAAGUGCUCAGGUUCGUAUAUAGUUUCUAAAAGAUUAUACUAUUUAAGUUCCUUAUAUCCUGUUUCAAUACAAUUUUGCUACAAAAAAAUGUUUACUAAUUAAGUUACAGUUAAUACUUUACUGAUACUAAUAGACGACUGCAAAAUCUUUACGGACGUAACUUUUGAAACAAGAGCCAUUGCAUUACCAUUUACCACAAUUUUUUUCUCUUAAUU